rnacentral:rRNA from 1 species
ACACUCCUACGGGAGGCAGCAGUGGGGAAUUUUGGACAAUGGGCGAAAGCCUGAUCCAGCAAUGCCGCGUGAGUGAAGAAGGCCUUCGGGUUGUAAAGCUCUUUUGUCAGGGAAGAAACGGUGAAAGCUAAUAUCUUUUGCUAAUGACGGUACCUGAAGAAUAAGCACCGGCUAACUACGUGCCAGCAGCCGCGGUAAUACGUAGGGUGCAAGCGUUAAUCGGAAUUACUGGGCGAAAAGCGUGCGCAGGCGGUUUUGUAAGUCUGAUGUGAAAUCCCCGGGCUCAACCUGGGAAUUGCAUUGGAGACUGCAAGGCUAGAAUCUGGCAGAGGGGGGUAGAAUUCCACGUGUAGCAGUGAAAUGCGUAGAUAUGUGGAGGAACACCGAUGGCGAAGGCAGCCCCCUGGGUCAAGAUUGACGCUCAUGCACGAAAGCGUGGGGAGCAAACAGGAUUAGAAACCCUAGUAGUCCCAUGA